rnacentral:ncRNA from 1 species
CCCUUGCUUCCGAACUGCCGCCGUAUGGUGAGCGUGCCCGGUUCCGCCGGGAGUAGGAAGCAGGGGGCGC